CUGUUCGCAUGGUUUUCUGGGAAAGCUUUCGCGGUAUGGGAUGGGGUCGCGUCCUAUCAGCUUGACGGCGGGGUAACGGCCCACCGUGGCUUCGACGGGUAGCCGGCCUGAGAGGGCGACCGGCCACAUUGGGACUGAGAUACGGCCCAGACUCCUACGGGAGGCAGCAGUGGGGAAUAUUGCACAAUGGGCGCAAGCCUGAUGCAGCGACGCCGCGUGAGGGAUGGAGGCCUUCGGGUUGUAAACCUCUUUUAUCGGGGAGCAAGCGAGAGUGAGUUUACCCGUUGAAUAAGCACCGGCUAACUACGUGCCAGCAGCCGCGGUAAUACGUAGGGUGCAAGCGUUAUCCGGAAUUAUUGGGCGUAAAGGGCUCGUAGGCGGUUCGUCGCGUCCGGUGUGAAAGUCCAUCGCUUAACGGUGGAUCCGCGCCGGGUACGGGCGGGCUUGAGUGCGGUAGGGGAGACUGGAAUUCCCGGUGUAACGGUGGAAUGUGUAGAUAUC
rnacentral:rRNA from 1 species